rnacentral:other from 1 species
ACGGUUAUAAAUCAACAUAUUGAUUUAUAAGCAUGGAAAUCCCCUGAGUGAAACAACGAAUUGCUGUGUGUAGUCUUUGCCCAUCUCACACGAUGGGCUUUUUUUUAA